GUGGGGAAUAUUGCACAAUGGGGGAAACCCUGAUGCAGCGACGCCGCGUGAGCGAUGAAGUAUUUCGGUAUGUAAAGCUCUAUCAGCAGGGAAGAUAAUGACGGUACCUGACUAAGAAGCUCCGGCUAAAUACGUGCCAGCAGCCGCGGUAAUACGUAUGGAGCAAGCGUUAUCCGGAUUUACUGGGUGUAAAGGGAGCGUAGGCGGUCCUGCAAGUCUGAUGUGAAAACCCGGGGCUCAACCCCGGGACUGCAUUGGAAACUGUAGGACUAGAGUGUCGGAGGGGUAAGUGGAAUUCCUAGUGUAGCGGUGAAAUGCGUAGAUAUUAGGAGGAACACCAGUGGCGAAGGCGGCUUACUGGACGACCACUGACGCUGAGGCUCGAAAGCGUGGGGAGCAAACAGGAUUAGAAACCCCAGUAGUCC
rnacentral:rRNA from 1 species